rnacentral:rRNA from 1 species
UACGUGGGGUGCGAGCGUUAAUCGGAAUUACUGGGCGUAAAGCGUGCGCAGGCGGUUCGUUGUGUCGGUGGUGAAAUCCCCGGGCUUAACCUGGGAAUGGCCAUGGAAACUGGCGAACUGGAGUGUGGCAGAGGGGGGUGGAAUUCCGCGUGUAGCAGUGAAAUGCGUAGAGAUGCGGAGGAACACCGAUGGCGAAGGCAGCCCCCUGGGCUAACACUGACGCUCAGGCACGAAAGCGUGGGGAGCAAACAGG